rnacentral:rRNA from 1 species
GACGAACGCUGGCGGCGUGCUUAACACAUGCAAGUCGAGCGGUAAGGCCCUUUCGGGGAUACACGAGCGGCGAACGGGUGAGUAACACGUGGGUGACCUGCCCUCAGCUCUGGGAUAAGCCUGGGAAACUGGGUCUAAUACUGGAUAUGACUCCACGGUGCAUGUCGUGGGUGAAAGCCUUGUGCGGCUGAGGAUGGGCCCGCGGCCUAUCAGCUUGUUGGNGGGGUGAUGGCCUACCAAGCGACGACGGGUAGCCGGCCUGAGAGGGCGACCGGCCACACUGGGACUGAGACACGGCCCAGACUCCUACGGGAGGCAGCAGUGGGGAAUCUUGCGCAAUGGGCGAAAGCCUGACGCAGCGACGCCGCGUGAGGGAUGACGG